AGAAAAAGUAUUUGUACAUUUUUCUGUAAAAAAAAUAAUAAUAAUAAAAACUGUAAAUGUACCUUGCUGUUAAUUAGCAUAAGUAAAUACACAUAUUGUGAGAUAUGCAGCUUUGCAUUAUCCUCGUAUGAAAUCUGUGAAGUGUUGUAGUUUAUUAGACUUUAUGAGGUUCUUUAAGAGUCCCUAGUGUUUGCUGGGGACCCUUUCUGCUGCGUAUCCUAGGCAACCACGUACCCAUGAACUCCCCCCUUAAAACUGGCAACUUUAAUUUAAACUCAUAUGCUUUAGAUUCCAAAGAGCUACGUUUAAUAUUUCAUUCUCAUGCAGAAAUGAACUUUCUCAUUUUAGAACAAUGAUGGAAAAUGACAGAUCUGGAAAAAACACAGAUGAGCUGCUCUCUGUAGAUGUGGAUGAGGAGGUUGAUGUUUACGGGGUUAUACCUCUGGCUUUGUCCCGUGAUCACUGUGAUGUACUACUGGACGUAAUAGACACACAACUGAGUCAUCUACAGAUCCACAGCCAAAGCAAAAUGCAUGGAGCAAACUCCACGAGAUAUGAAUUUCCUUUCUUGGGCUAUCUUGAUCGGAGUCAGUCUGUAAGUAAAGACACAGGCUUGUGGAGCACUGUUCCAACCAAUGAUAAAACACCAUCCAACCUUGACGGGACUCAGUCAGAAGGCAAAGAUGACAAAACAGAGCAUCAGACAAUGGAGAUGAUAAAGUUUGGCGUCGCAGCUACAGAUGUGUGGUGUCCUGAGGAAAGUGGCAGCUUGAGCUCCGUGUCCAGUGUUGUUGGAGACUGGAGAGGCUUCUUGGGAGAAAUGCUGAGGUGGCAGGGAUGGGAAACGAGGAGGAUGAUGUCACAAUGGACAGCGUCUGCACUGAGGACUUCUCAACAUGUUUUGGGGAGGAAAUAUUGGUCCUGCCAGCCUCAGAGGCUGGAUGAGGUGAAUCAGGAACUGGGGCAGAGCGAGGAGGACUGAAGGGCUCUCCGACAGAAAUGCACUGAGCUGAAGGAGCAGCUGGCUGAUACGAUCAGAGAAAAAGAACAAAUAAAGGAGGUUCUCACUUUUGUUUCUUCUUUUAA
ensembl:lncRNA